rnacentral:rRNA from 1 species
UGUGGCGACCAUAGCGAAGGGGCAACACCCGUUCCCAUUCCGAACACGGCAGUUAAGACCUUCAGCGCCGAUGGUACUUUAUUAAAGGGAGAGUAGGACGUCGCCACAA